GGGGCACGAACCGGAUUAGAUACCCGGGUAGUCCCAGCUGUAAACGAUGCUCGCUAGGUGUCAGGUGCGGUGCGACCGCAUCUGGUGCCGUAGUGAAAACUUGAAGCGAGUCACCUGGGAAGUACGGUCGCAAGGCUGAAACUUAAAGGAAUUGGCGGGGGAGCACUACAACGGGUGGAGCCUGCGGUUCAAUUGGAUUCAACGCCGGAAAGCUUACCGGGUCAGACAGCAAUAUGAAGGUCAAGCUAAAGACUUUACCGAAUUCGCUGAGAGGAGGUGCAUGGCCGUCGUCAGUUCGUAUCGUGAGACAUCCUGUUAAGUCAGGCAACGAGCAAGACCCGUGCCCACAGUUGCCAGCAUACCCUCCGGGGUGAUGGGCACACUGUGGGGACCGCCGCUGCUAAAGCGGAGGAAGGUGCGGGCUACGGU
rnacentral:rRNA from 1 species